CUGCUGGAAUGGGACAACUUUCUUUCUAUCCCAUCUUCCUUCGGUCAGAUCCCCUCAGCUGCCCACGCCUGCCCUCACCCUGAGCCUUUCUGCUCUACUUUGAUGGUUUUCUCAGGUUCUGCAUUAACCAGCCUGGAUUCGUAUGCCUCAUCCGUGCACUACAGCAAUCUAAACAUUGCAGCAACAUUCCCAGGAAGCAGAUGCUGCUGUGCAGAUGUGCGUGAGUCUUGAAGACCAAGAACUGUGGGAAAUCAGGCAGGAGAGGGAUUUUCAUAAAUGUGAGCAUCCGGACCACAGACUUGGGGGUCCUGCUCUUCUACAGGCUACUGAUGAGCAGUAUCAGCAGUUCCAUCAUCAUUGCCCUGAUGGGCCUGGGUGGGAAGGGCAGUUUGUGGAGUUGGGCUGGCUGGAAAAUGUUCCUGUGAGUUGGAAGGUUUCUUAAACCCACUCCUAUAUAGGCCUGGGAGGAGAAUUUAGUCAUAGAGCAAAAAUGCCUUAAAACAGGGAAUUUUAUCCUGCCAAAGGCAAGUCAGUGUUAUUUUAAGUUGCUUUGUAAAGGACAGUGUUGGCAUGAUAUGUUUACAAGUUCUGUGAUGACAUACCACCAAGGCAUCCCCAACAGGCUGCAGGCUCCUACUGGAGUGCUUGCAGCUAUGCAACAUUGAGACGCAGCUGCUGUAAACAUAAGAUUUCUGUUUUCUGGUGUUAUCCUGACUAUGAUAAGGAGGGUUUGGUGGGGUCGUCUUAGAAGUUCUGGCGAGGAAGAUUGGGAUUAUAAUUCCAGAAUUGAAAGGACCACGGGGAUCAUCUCACUCCACCCUCUCACUGAACAGAGGAAAACACAGAGUUUUGGAGAGGGAUAUGGAUUUACCCGGGGGCCACAUGGCGUAUUUGCGCUUUUAUUUAGACGGAAAGGGAAGAGUUUCUCUUCCAUUUAUGGCCAGAAAAAGCAUAUAUGAUAGGGGCUAGCAUUGGUCAGGCAAUUAGAAAAAGUCAGUGGGUUUCAACUAAGUGUGGAAGACUUCUGGGUCUGGGAUUUCAGAGGCAGAAUGCUCACCCUCUCUCUGAACUCUGACCUCCUCUCUGUCCAAUAGGAACGUGACCAGAGCAGCAAGAUUCAAGUCACAAUCCCUCAAGGUGCUUCAGGGUAACCAAGGAGGAUGAGCAAGCAGGGCCACCUACAGCUAGAGCAGCUCACUUCUGUCUCUUCUCUAUGUUGGGCCUAACUGAAGAUUUUCAAGAAGAAAAUAUAGGCCGGGUAUGGUGGCUCACAUCUCUGUAAUCCCACUUUGGGAGGCCGA